rnacentral:lncRNA from 1 species
AACGAGAUCAUGGCUUUGCUUCCCUUCCUGUGGAGCUCUGGCCACUUACUAAACACCUGCAUCAUUGCUGCUUCCAAUAACACAGUGACACUGUCAUGGCUCAAAAGAACAGUUUGAAGAGGGUUGCCAAGUUGUGCCUGAGAAUCAUCUGGAAGACUUAUUAAAACACAGACUCCUGGAUCCUACCCUCAGAGAUUAGGAUUUAGUAAUUCUAGGUUGGGAUCUGAAAAUUUUUCACAAGUUCCCAAGUAAUUCCUCUAGUUCAUGCCUCACAGUUUGAUUAUGUUUGGUAGAUUGCUCCUUGUUUAAUGAUAAACACAGCUGUCAGAGCCAGGAUGGUCAGAAGAGACGAACCUCAAAAAACAUGUAACAUAUUUGACAGUUGGUACCACAAUUCUGAAUACCUGAUCCUUGAUAGUGCUGUACCUGG